AUAGGCACAAAAUUCAUCAGCCACUACUACCAGAAAGCUCUUUCCCUUUGCUUGGCAUUGCCAUGAACAUUAAGCAAAAGAUUAAAGUGUUUUGUUUUCUUUAAUGCACGGCAAUGGCUGUUUGCAUCAUCAAAUGCCAUGCAAUAUUUAAAUCCAACCUACAUAGGCAAAAUCCUAUUUUCAUGCUCGGUUCCAUCACUUAUGAUGGCCCAUGAUACCAGCUCCUCGUUUUACUUCGUUAUAUUAGUCAAGUGGUCAUCUAUCUCCUCAGUGGACGACAUUGUGAAUUGUGGCUUCGUCUUCCUUACAAUACAAACCUGUAAAUGAUAAAGAAAGCAUGAGAUGGUCGCAAGAGCUGUGAUAACUCCAUACAUCCUUAUCAAGACUUCGUAAGAUAAAUCUAAUCUGCUAUGUUAUUGUAUUAUCUAGUAAAUUAUGCAUUUGUUCUAUGGUCUUGUAUAAACUGAUACAGCCACUAAGCAUAAUUCGAUAAAAAUAAACAAAAUAAUAUAUGCACCUUCAAAUUGGCAGCACCUUUGGCGUAAUUUAAUGAACCUCACUGACAGGGCAAUACCUUAUCGUGUCCCAUUUCUAGCAAGCAAAUGUAGAUCACCAAAAGAAAAAAUUCAAAAUAUGAUUUCAACAUGAGAGGGGAUAUUUAAUACUUGAAUCUCAAAACUUGAAGUUCAUUACUCAUAAUUCUGUCAUGUUUGCCACAAUUUCCACAAUGUCCUAUUCUCAUUCUGUAACAUAAAUUGCUUUAAUAAUUAAUAACAAUCCAAAUAUAAAUUCCAAACUAAAAAAAAAAAAACACAGAAAACUUAUGCCCAAAUUGCUGUCAUGCAGAAUAAGUUUAAUUUCGUGUAACAAUAUCACCUCUGAAACCAACUAACAGUUAUACCACUCGUGGCUGAUCUCCUCAAACAACUAAAGGUUUAUGAUUACAUAGCAAGUACAA
rnacentral:lncRNA from 1 species